CUCAUUUUGAUAUUUUCAACCAUGUUUGUAUAUAUUAAUGUAAUGUAAUCACAAUUUCUCUGAGUUCUAAAAUGAGAGCCAUUUCCUUGUCACAGUCUUUUCCCCUCCAACCAGCAUUUAAACCAACCAGGUUUAAAUAGUCUCUCUUUUCAGCAAACCUUGGGACACAAAAUAUGGUCUUUCUUUCCUGGGGAAUAGGAUGUCCACAUUCUUAAGAACAGAACAUUCCCAGGCAAUAUGACACCAACUCCCAGAAAGCACUGCGCUCGUCGGCCUGCGGGGCACAGCCAUACGCCACAUCCCCUUCUUACCAAGUGAAGCUAGUUGUGUAAACACACGAAUCCCCGUGAGGAAAUAGUUGGCAAAUACAUUACGGACUUUUGUGUACGGUACUAACCUGUACCGGACUGUGCAGUAAAAACAAGACAAGGACAAGCAGUAAGUGCCCAUCAUUUGCCGGUCAGAGAUACAGAGCGGUGCAAACAAGCUGAUAGCCGGAAGGCUAAUGCUAACGCUAUCAGCUUGUUUGCGUUGAUAAACCACCCGGAGUUUGCGGAAGACACGUGGAAAAGCUGGAAACUCAGAGGGUUUACUGUCUCCAUUUCCAACAGGAAGACGUCACUGAGCGGAGAUACAUGGUUUAAUCAAGUCUUGGUGACAAUGUUCACACCACACAGUGUCUGCCCAUCUUCCAGACUCCUCUAGCUGUGCCACAUCAGAUUCUGUCACCGCUGUAUAAGUUUCAUUAUUAUUAUUUUUUUGUUUGCAUAGUGUUAGAAAUUCUUUGAGAUAUGUCUCCUUGUUUAAUUUAAUUUGUACUCUUCAAUGUGAUGGCAAAAUAUUGUCCUUUGUGAAUAAUAAAGUUUUUGUUUGUUUCACCUUA